rfam:Triticum aestivum genome assembly, contig: Triticum_aestivum_CS42_TGACv1_scaffold_220651_3B
GAUCUACUCCCUCCGUUCGAAAUUACUUGUCUUGGAAAUGGAUGUAUCUAGAACUAAAAUACAUCAAAAUACACCCAUUUUCGCGACAAGUAAUUCCGAACGGAGGGAGUAGAUA